rnacentral:lncRNA from 1 species
UGAUCUGGGUUUACCAAUCAGCUUGUUAUAUUAAUGUUUUUAUUCUUACAGGACAAUUGGAACAAUAUAAAGGGCAUGGAAGAGUCUUAUUUCACCUAGGGUAAAUGUGAUGGCUGAAUUUUUAGUGCAUUGUCUUAUCAGUUGCUGAAUACUUUUUUCAGGGUUGCUGAAACAUUACACCCAGAAGCUGGAUGGCAAUCUAAGUGAUUUUUCAACCUUGAGAAGUUGACAGACUGCGAAAGAAGACUUGUUCAAUACAGAGGCUCAGCACUUAUGGAGGUCUGCAGAGCAACAGUUUGUCCUCCCUUCUUUCUGCUGCCAUCAUAUGAGAGAACACCCUCUCUGAUACCUAUGUUCUCAUGCUGCUACUGCUUGGAGUGCCCUAUGUGUGUUGAAGCCAACAUGUGUGGCUGCAUAUGGGAUGAACUUGCAACUGCAGUGUCCAGAUGGCUAUCAUGGAAUGAUGCAAUGAAAGGAAGAAAUAAUCAUUUAGAGCAUCCUGUUCAAGAUCAGAAUUCAGUGUAAGUUGUUUAAGUUGUUUUCAGAGCAUGGCAUUAGAAUUCUUCAGUGUUUUCAGACCGUCAGGUCUGCAUUCAUAAUAAUAUGAAAGGAUGUUAAAGAAACAUGAUCUUCAUCCAGAUAUACUUGCAAAGACUUUAAAUGUGAAGGUACCUAUAUCUUCUUCCUUAGGGUUGACUGGAGUACAGUUAAUCUGGGAAACACAUUGUGCAAUGUGAUUCUUAUCAGACAAUCGUGAGGUGUUUUCAAAUUUGAAGUAGUAGUUGAUUUCUUAUUCUCAAAAAUAAGGACCAUAUGGUUUUGUGACUAGUUCCCUGACUGGCCUCCCAGCUCAUUUGGUCUCUGGCUUCCUGACAAAAUUGCUGGCUUUCUUUGGUCAUGCAUCAGAGUAAGCUAUUAGUUUUAAACAGAACUUGUAAAACAAAGCUUUAGUAACUCAUGUCUACAGUAAUAUGCAAAUUUAAUUUACUAGCAUGUAUAAAACAGGCAUCAGAUCUGUGGAGAACAUGUGAAAUUUUUCCAAGAUAAUACAUGAAAGCUUUGACAACUAUUUAUUUUUCUUUCUCAUCAGGGCGUGGUGAACACUGGUUACACAGACUUGCCAAGUAGAAUGGCUACUCAAGCCAGUAGCAUUUAUUCCAAUAACAUCUUGAAAUUAUUAAAGCUAUUUCUCCUGAUAAAGAAUAUUUUCAGUUUGAACAAAAGGAUGAUUUCGAUUAUGGGGCUAUUUAUCAUGUCAUUAGAAGAAUUUUGGUAAUGAAGGUGAGUUUCAACACCACUUAAAAUUUUUUGAUUAUAAAAUUAGAUGUGUUGUAUGAAAGCAGAGAUUUUGCUAGUGAGUUUAGCCAUUCCAUGAAAAAACAUUACUUGUCCAUAUGAUAACAUGAACUGAGUUUCUUGCAUGUUUCGAACACUGAAA